UACGGGGGAUGCAAGCGUUAUCCGGAUUUAUUGGGUUUAAAGGGUGCGUAGGCGGUCUGGUAAGUCAGCGGUGAAAUUUAGGGGCUCAACCUCUACCGUGCCGUUGAUACUGCUGGGCUAGAAUGCGGAUGCCGUGGGAGGAAUGUGUGGUGUAGCGGUGAAAUGCAUAGAUAUCACACAGAACACCGAUUGCGAAGGCAUCUCACGAAUCCGCUAUUGACGCUGAGGCACGAAAGCGUGGGGAUCAAACAGG
rnacentral:rRNA from 1 species